CCUACGGGGGGCAGCAGUGGGGAAUAUUGCGCAAUGGGCGAAAGCCUGACGCAGCGACGCCGCGUGAGGGAUGAAGGUCUUCGGAUCGUAAACCUCUGUCAGCAGGGAAGAACGGUCACUGUGCUAAUCAGCCGUGAAUUGACGGUACCUGCAAAGGAAGCACCGGCUAACUCCGUGCCAGCAGCCGCGGUAAUACGGAGGGUGCGAGCGUUAAUCGGAAUUACUGGGCGUAAAGCGCUCGUCGGCGGUAUGUCAAGUCAAGGGUGAAAUCCCCGCGCUCAACGUGGGAACUGCCUUUGAAACUGGCAAACUGGAGUGUGUGAGAGGAUAGUGGAAGUCCAGGUGUAGGAGUGAAAUCCGGAGAUAUCGGGAGGAACAUCAGUGGCGAAGGCGACUAUCUGGCACAUAACUGACGCUGAGGAGCGAAAGCGUGGGUAGCAAACAGGAUUAGAUACCCGGGUAGUC
rnacentral:rRNA from 1 species